CGGACGAACGCUGGCGGCGUGCUUAACACAUGCAAGUCGAACGGUGACGAGGAGCUUGCUCCUCUGAUCAGUGGCGAACGGGUGAGUAACACGUGAGCAACCUGCCCCAGACUCUGGGAUAACAGUUGGAAACAGCUGCUAAUACCGGAUACGAGACGGAGAGGCAUCUCUACCGUCUGGAAAGUUUUUCGGUCUGGGAUGGACUCGCGGCCUAUCAGCUAGUUGGUGAGGUAAUGGCUCACCCAAGGCGACGACGGGUAGCCGGCCUGAGAGGGCGACCGGCCACACUGGGACUGAGACACGGCCCAGACUCCUACGGGAGGCAGCAGUGGGGAAUAUUGCACAAUGGGCGAAAGCCUGAUGCAGCGACGCCGCGUGAGGGAUGACGGCCUUCGGGUUGUAAACCUCUUUCAGCAGGGAAGAAGCGAAAGUGACGGUACCUGCAGAAGAAGCACCGGCUAACUACGUG
rnacentral:rRNA from 1 species